GUGUGAACACCGAAGGGCAGGGAUUUUGGUGAAAUGAAAGUGGAAGCAAAGAGCCUGCCGGUUCUACAUCAGAAGUGUAUUUCAGGUCCGGCUUAGAGGAGACUAAAGCCCAUCAGAAGGUACAAGCAAGAGUUCUGUCGCUGUGGACACUGCCACUUUGUGCCUGGCUCCGAACCCACAACUCUUGCCAGCCGGACCCCAGGCCCAUGUCAGUGACCCAUGAUGCCGCUCUCCAUGCCCUUCGGGAGGAGCAGGCCAGACUAAAGAGGAGGCUGCAGCGGCUGCAGCAGCGGAGGAGGGAAUUCGGGGACUUCCCUCACCACGACCAGGUCCCAUUCCCGGUGCCCUUGGUCCCCCUGGUGUUCCGAGGACACACUCAGCAGGGCACAGAAGGGUCCAAGCCUUUGGUUUCCAAACUACGGAUCUGCUACCCUCUGCCUGGAGGCUCUGCUCUGGUCACCUUCGACGAUCCCAAGGUGGCCAAGAGGGUGCUGCAACAAAAGGAGCACAAGAUCGACAUCGAUGAGUGCCGGCUGCGGGUGCAAGUCCAGUCCUUGGAGCUGCCCGUGGUGACCACCAUCCAGGUGUCCACACAGAUAAGCAGGAGGAGUGUGCUGGUCAGUGGGUUUCCUGCAGGGCUCAGGCUGAGUGAGGAGGAGCUGCUGGACAAGCUGGAGAUCUUCUUUGGCAAGUCCAGGAAUGGGGGUGGCGAUGUGGAGAGUCGGAAGCUGCUGCAAAGUGGUGUCGUGCUGAGUUUCACUAAGGAUGCAGUGGCCCAGCACCUGUGCCAGGCUGGCCAGUUUACAGUGCCACUGGGCACGAAAAGCUUCCCUUUGAGAAUCUCUCCCUUCCUAAGUGGGGAGAUCCAGAAGGCUGAGGAAACUUGAUGUGAGCACAGAAGGAGGAACCCUCACCUUCCAGGAGCCCACCUUCCCCUCCACUCUCGGAGGCAACAUCCAGGACCCAGGGUUUGGCUUUUUAUUGACACAAACACAAAGGCAGCUUCGGUAACAGUAACGGGGUGGGGUACACAAAAGCAGAAAUCGCCCUUCACACAUUUAGGCCUCAUUUAGACACUGAAGAGGCUGAGCCCCUCCCCCCACCUCCCAUUGGCAAUAGCUGGGCAGUAACCCUCCCUAAUUCUGUAUCAGAGAGCAGAGGGAGUUGUACCCCUGCGCCAGGAAGUCCCCACUUUGGUUCCGGUGGCCCAGGUUCUAACCACCCCCCUCCUUAUUCCCCUGUUCCAUCUCCCCACCCAUGUAAACAAAGUUUGGGGCUGAGUUUGAAAAGCUGCCCUCCUGCUCUGAGAAGGCAGUGGGCCUCCCUUGACUACACAAGAAAUGUGCUUCGAUUUUUACUUUGGUCCCAGAACAAGAAACAGAUGGCAUUGCCUCUCAGAGCUCUGGCUGGUAAAUGCCACACUUAUCUGCAAGGCUGAGAACGCCACCCUGCCUUUUUCUCCUCAACCACCCAGAGAGAAAUGACAGCCCCAGAGACGGGACACGGCACAGACCCCAGGAGGCUAGGGGCUGCCCCCCGCCUCCCCUGGCACACACACAGAUUUUUGGCAGUGUUGUGGGACAGCAAAAGCCCACCUCCACCAGAACGAGGAAGGCACUGGGGAGUUCAGGGGUGGAGGAGGAGGUGUGAGACAGGGACCCCCCACCCACCCACACACGCAAGCACAGGUUUUCCGUUGCUAAGGCACUGAGAACAAAUCCACUAGAACUCAGUGAAGGAUGGGGCGGAGGGGGGGGCUCUGUGUCCCUCCCACAGAGUCGUGACCUAGGGAAGCAGGUCAGAUUCCCACCCUUGUUGUAAGAGGCAACCUUGGUUAAGAGUGGCAGAAAACCUGCAGGUGGAAGAAACCCAGCUGUGCUCAAGGAGACGGGGACCAGAGGACAAGGCCAUGCAACGAGGCAACAGAGUUCAGAGGUGGGCGCCAGUUGGCCUGGGCUGAAGGGACAGGAGGGCGAGACAGGGACAUGCUGGAUUCACACAAAUUGGCCCCAUAUCCUGAGCUGACAUUUCGAUUCUUUGGGGAGGGGAGUGUGGGGCAGGGGCAGGAGGGGAGAUGAGGCAGAGGUGGAAGCACACAGAACUGGACGGAAAAGGACUGGCUAACCUUGGCACAAAAGCAGCACAGCAGGCCCAGGGAAAGGGUGGGGGCAGGAAGCAGCCGGCCUCCCUCUGACCCUCCCUGUCCCCUUGGCAGGGCCCAGACAUCCAAGUGGUCACUUCCCAACCUCUUCGGAGGGCAGGAAGGGGGGAGGGGGCCCUGCCUAAGGAGAAAGAACAGGGCAGGGGAGAGGUCAUCACCACGGGGACCUUUGGGGGCAAGUGGGCAGAGCAUUAUGAGGAGGAUGAAAUGUAAGAGAGUCUGGUGACCAACACAACGUGGCUCCCUAGCUUCUCUCUUCCCAGGUCCCGAGGGUCUGCCAGCCCCGGCCCUAGUUCUCCUUCUCUGGUCCAGGCACCAGGAGGACUUUGCCCACAUUCUUCUUCUCCUGCAUCUGCCUCAUGGCAUCCGCCACCUGGAGAGGAAGACAAGACCCGGUGCCAUCCGGCCCCUCUAGAGAGCCAGCCUAAAGGGGUAGCCCAAGUGGAAGCCACACACAGCGCGGUUGGUUGGCAGCAGCUGCAGCGCAGUCACACUGAACUGGUUCCACCAUGUGCGCGCCAGGGCCAUCAGGUUCCGCUUGGGGCCCGUCAGCAGGUUGGCCAUUCCUGAGGGAUGAGGAGACGCGGCCCGUGAAUCCAGGUGCUGGGCACAUCCCUGUCCAAAUCCAUGCUCAUCCACCCCCUCUGGGCCUCUUACAAUCAUCCACAGCAGUGCCAGGGAGUGACAGGAUAUUCCCCCACCUGCUGGCUGCCAGGCCCAAAUGGACUCCAGCUGACUCAAAAAUUGCCUGAAUCUUUA